rnacentral:rRNA from 1 species
AUUGAACGCUGGCGGCAGGCCUAACACAUGCAAGUCGAACGAGUGGCGGACGGGUGAGUAAUGUCUGGGAAACUGCCCGAUGGAGGGGGAUAACUACUGGAAACGGUAGCUAAUACCGCAUACCAUCGGGUGUGCCCAGAUGGGAUUAGCUAGUAGGUGGGGUAACGGCUCACCUAGGCGACGAUCUCUAGCUGGUCUGAGAGGAUGACCGGCCACACUGGAACGGAGACACGGUCCAGACUCCGACGAGAGGCAGCAGUGUGGGAUAUUGCACAAUGGGCGCAAUCCUGAUGCAGCCAUGCCGCGUGUAUGAAGAAGGCCUUCGGGUUGUAAAGUACUUUCAGCGAGGAGGCGUGACUCGCAGAAGAAGCACCGGCUAACUCCGUGCCAGCCGCCGCGGUAAUAC